AAUAGUUUUAUGCCACAUCAGUAUUCUUAUCUUGAAUUUCAGGAUUUUAUCCUGAAAAAAAUCAAAUCCAAAUUAAAAUACUGAAAUUCAAGAUAAGAAUAUUGAUGUGGCAUAAAACUAUU
rfam:Gossypium arboreum cultivar AKA8401 contig_20012_1, whole genome shotgun sequence.